UAGGGAAUCUUCGGCAAUGGGGGGAACCCUGACCGAGCAACGCCGCGUGAGUGAAGAAGGUUUUCGGAUCGUAAAGCUCUGUUGUUAAGGAAGAACGAGUGUGAGAAUGGAAAGUUCAUACUGUGACGUUACUUAACCAGAAAGGGACGGCUAACUACGUGCCAGCAGCCGCGGUAAUACGUAGGUCCCGAGCGUUGUCCGGAUUUAUUGGGCGUAAAGCGAGCGCAGGCGGUUAGAUAAGUCUGAAGUUAAAGGCAGUGGCUCAACCAUUGUUGGCUUUUGAAACUGUUUAACUUGAGUGCCGAAGGGGGGAGUGGAAUUCCAUGUGUAGCGGUGAAAUGCGUAGAUAUAUGGAGGAACAACGGUGGCGAAAGCGGCUCUCUGGUCUGUAACUGACGCUGAGGCUCGAAAGCGUGGGGAGCGAACAGG
rnacentral:rRNA from 1 species